rnacentral:tRNA from 1 species
UGGUUAGCUCAGCCGGUAGAGCGCUCCACUGGAAAUGGAGAGGACCCUGGUUCGCUACCAGGAUCA